UCUCUCUCUCACUCUCUCAGUGCUCAUCUUGGGACCUGGCACCACGCUGCAAGUAAGCACCAACCUCACGUGGGGACACUACAUGUAGAUGCUUCCAUUGACAACUCCAGUGAGGGUCCCAACAUCAACUACCCAACAUAUGCAAGAUUUUAAGAUAAGUCCAACUGCAGCUGCCAUCUUACCGAAACUACUACAUUCAAGACCUUGGGCUGAAUUAUUAAGUUUCCAAGAGCAGAAGCACAGCAGCAGAUUCCCAGUCUUCUCAAGGAGACCACAGGAAAGACUUAACAUCCCCCCAACUUUCUUCAUCCACAAAAUUGGCAUUCGAGACAAUGUUUCCACCAACUGAGAUCUCAGUAUGAAAUGAGCUGCAGGUCUCUGCACCAUUGAGGUCUCAUCUAGGCCAGCCACAGCUCCACACGCCAUGUGCAGAGCCAUGAGAAAGGCUUGCUCACCUCAGGGAUGCAGUCCUCAUGGGUCACGACGCGGACGAUAUCAUCCAGUGGGAGCAGAGAGUUGCACUUUAUCUCUGUGUAAACGUUCUUGCCCUCGGUACACACGGCCAAGAGCUCCACCAGGUGGAUAUGGUACAUGAGAGGGCUGUUCUCAUCCAUCCGGUCCCGCUCUGACCUCAUCAUCUGGAUCAGGGUCUGGAAAGAGGCUCUGUCGUUGUAGAACACGAGGACGUCCUCUCCCGAAUUAACAAGCUAUAAAAAGAACAGGGCUUGUUUAUAUUACAAGCCUGCAGAGGAGGUGGGGACACCAUUUAAAAAAUAUCUAUUUGCAGAGAAAUAGAGAUGCUCUGCCAGCAUCUGCUUUCCAAAACCAGUCUCACCUAUAUUAUUGAACUCAUCUAAAUUUCAUUCAUCGUUUCAAUCAACAGAUUCAGGUAUAUGACAGAGGCCUUAAAAAACUAUCAAAGGAAGAGAAAGUCUUCAGACCAGCACUCAUGUAUCAAGUGGAAAUGUGUAUUUUAAGUUUGCACUUGCAUUUCCAACCUAAUAGGCUAUGAUUUUUCUUUUUAAAACCAUUUCCAUCUUUUUAUGCUUGAAAAGUAAUAACUCUUAUGACUCUUUCAUGCACUGCUUUCUCUCUUCACACUUCCAAAUUAUCCACUUCUCAUUAAGAUACACCUUCCUUUCAACCUCAUCAAAAAAUCAAGGCAUUCUUACUUAUACAUUGUCCCCAGGACUGUAUAGGGCUUCUCAUAAAUCUACUUAAGAUUAAAUCAAUUUCAGCACUCCAUGAAAUACAGAAGAUCCAAAAAGGGCUGGCACAGAAGUCAAAACAAAUACAGUAAUAUUUACAUAGGAACAACUCACCUUUAUAAGCUCUAAUUAGGUGCCAGAUACUGUGAUAAAUACUCCACAUGGAUUAUCUAACCUCACUGUGCCUCAGUUUUGUCUGUAAAACUGAGGACAAAGAUGAUACCUAACUCAUAGUGCUGUGUCAAGAGAUUAAAUAAAUGAUUACAUGCAAACUGAUUAGAACAGUGACUAGGGUAUCAGAGGCUUCCAAUAAAUCUUAGCUAUUAUUGUCACUAUUAUUUCACUAAGUUGGCAUCUCAGCUAAUACCACCACACCAUCAUUUUAUAGGAAUGGCACACUUAGGGUUGGGGAAGUCAACAGUCACACCUCCAGUAAAGUAGGAUGGCCUACAAUCAUAUCCCAGAUCAAUUCUUUUAAUUACAGUACUCUACCUUCCACCGGAAUCCUAUGUUUUUUAUUAGAUAGGAUUAUAAAUGCAAGUGUCACCUCAGCCAUGACCAUGUCUUGGCACUUUUUGAUGAAUUUCCCUUCUGCUUUGACGAUCGUCUGCAAGAACUUUAUGUACUGGACAUUUCGACCAUGAGUCUCAAUGCAGUGGACAAAGUGCUGGACAACUCUCUCGUUGAUCUCACUGCAGAGCUGGAAAUUGUUCAUGAAGAUGUGCUGCAUGGUUACUGCCUCCAGGAUCUGGCACAAGAGUGAGGGCAGGAGCACAGGGAAAUGGUCAAAACUCUGUGGCUAGAGCAGAGUACAAAGUGAGAAAGAUAGUCUACCAAAACACACAGAGAGAAGAAUUUAAAUCCACAAAGAGGUAUUCUCCUUUCUCACUUUCUGCCAUCUUUUUAAAUCAUAAUAAACACACAGAAAGGGAAACAAAUCACUAGUAUUCAACUCAAUGAACUACACAGGAAACCCCAGCACCCAGAUCAAGAAACGAAAUGCCUCGUCACCCAAUUUAACUCCUGUUUUGAUUUCUGCAACCACAGAUGAGUUUUGCCUGCUUUUGAGCCUCAUAUACUCUCUCCUGUCUGGUUUCUUUUGCUCAAAAUUUGCAUUUUGCAAUGCUGUCAACAUGUUGUUGCAUGUACCAGCAGUUUGCUCAUGGUCAGUGCUAUGUAUAGUCCGUGGCAUGAAUAAACUACAAUGUGCUUAUCUA